GAUGAAGAACGCAGCGAAAUGCGAUAAGUAAUGUGAAUUGCAGAAUUCAGUGAAUCAUCGAAUCUUUGAACGCACAUUGUGCCCGCCAGCACUCUGGCGGGCAUGCCUGUUCGAGCGUCAUUUCAACCAUCAAGCCCCCAGGGGCUUGUGCUGGGGCCCUGCGGCUGCCCGCAGGCCCUGAAAACCAGUGGCGGGCUCGCUAGUCACACCGAGCGCAGUAGCACAUCUCGCUCAGGGCGUGCGGCGGGCUCCUGCCGUGAAACCCCCCACUGUAACCCCAAAGGUUGACCUCGGAUCAGGUAGGAAUACCCGCUGAACUUAAGCAUAUCAAUAAGCGGAGGA
rnacentral:misc_RNA from 1 species